GACGAACGCUGGCGGCGUGCUUAACACAUGCAAGUCGAACGAUGAAACCUAGCUUGCUAGGUCGAUUAGUGGCGAACGGGUGAGUAACACGUGACUAACCUGCCCCUUUCUCUGGGAUAACGCUUCGAAAGGAGUGCUAAUACCGGAUACUCACAUCGAGGCACAUGCCUUGGUGUGGAAAGUUUUUCGGAAAGGGAUGGAGUCGCGGCCUAUCAGCUUGUUGGCGAGGUAACGGCUCACCAAGGCGACGACGGGUAGCCGGCCUGAGAGGGCGACCGGCCACACUGGGACUGAGACACGGCCCAGACUCCUACGGGAGGCAGCAGUGGGGAAUAUUGCACAAUGGGCGCAAGCCUGAUGCAGCGACGCCGCGUGAGGGAUGAAGGUCUUCGGAUUGUAAACCUCUUUCAGUAGGGACGAAGCGAAAGUGACGGUACCUAAAGAAGAAGCACCGGCUAACUACGUGCCAGCAGCCGCAGUAA
rnacentral:rRNA from 1 species